rnacentral:rRNA from 1 species
UGGGGAAUUUUGGACAAUGGGGGAAACCCUGAUCCAGCCAUCCCGCGUGUGCGAUGAAGGCCUUCGGGUUGUAAAGCACUUUUGGCAGGAAAGAAACGUCGCGGGUUAAUACCCCGCGAAACUGACGGUACCUGCAGAAUAAGCACCGGCUAACUACGUGCCAGCAGCCGCGGUAAUACGUAGGGUGCAAGCGUUAAUCGGAAUUACUGGGCGUAAAGCGUGCGCAGGCGGUUCGGAAAGAAAGAUGUGAAAUCCCAGAGCUUAACUUUGGAACUGCAUUUUUAACUACCGGGCUAGAGUGUGUCAGAGGGAGGUGGAAUUCCGCGUGUAGCAGUGAAAUGCGUAGAUAUGCGGAGGAACACCGAUGGCGAAGGCAGCCUCCUGGGAUAACACUGACGCUCAUGCACGAAAGCGUGGGGAGCAAACAGGAUUAGAUACCCUGGUAGUCCACGCCCUAAACGAUGUCAACUAGCUGUUGGGGCCUUCGGCCUUGGUAGCGCAGCUAACGCGUGAAGUUGACCGCCUGGGGAGUACGGUCGCAAGAUUAAAACUCAAAGGAAUUGACGGGGUCAUAGCUGUUUUCCU